GACGGAGUAGUUCAGUUGGUUAGAACAUCGGAAUCAUAAUCCGAGUGUCAGGGGUUCGAGUCCCUUCUUCGUUA
rnacentral:tRNA from 1 species